GCUCCAUCAUCUCAGCACUUUCACGAGCCAAGGCUAAGUCAACCCGUGGUUCAGCUCUUGUCACUGUGUCGCAUGGCAAGUUCUUCUGUAAUGGCUUCGACCUAGAUUGGGUCAAUGCCACCGGUUCCAAACAAGAAGCCCAACAACGCUUCGAUUACUCGCUCGACUGCCUCACGCAGCUCGUCCAAGCCUUCAUCUCCCUCCCCAUGCCAACUGUCGCCGCCGUCAAUGGUCAUGCCGCUGCUGCCGGCGUGGUAAUCCCCCUCUGUCAUGACUACGUGGUCAUGAGACGUGACAGAGGUGUGCUUUACGUGAACGAUUUGGAAAUGGGGCUUAAGAUUCCUGAACUGUACAUGGCAUUUUUUAGGGCCAAAACUUCGGGGUGGGCGCUACGUGAUUUGGUGUUGCGUGGGUUGAAGAUAAAGGGAGAGGAGUUGCUGAAAAUGGGGAUAGUGGACGCCGUUUACGACGGCGAGGAAGGAGUUACAAAUGCCGGAAUGAAGAUGGCCGAUGAUUUGGCCAGAAGGAAAUGGGAUGGUGAAGUUUACGCUGAAAUUAGAAAAGGGUUGUAUUCUGAAUUUUGUGGCAUGCUGGGAAUAGCAUCCAAAGCUAUUGGAACCCCAAAACUUUGAUUAACAUGUUGGUGCAUAAAAUUAACAAGGGAAGGAAGUGGUGGUUUGGAGGGCGGAUCACCCUUAGCCAUAUAGGUGAAGAGAGAGAGAGAGAGCCCCCAAUGACCCCACCUGAAGAAAUGCAAGGUUUAAUGUGAAAGUUCUUAUUCUAAAAUUCUGAUUUUAAACUUAGUUUUACAUAAGGCUCAUCUAGAGUAUUUAUAGGCUCAACUUCUCUUAACAGACUAGCUAACAACUCAGCUCUCCUGUAACUGCAUUCUAACAAAUUCAUUUAUCUUAACAUGCAUCCAUCUCCUUCUCCGAACAAACCUGAAGAAAAUUCCGAAACCUAGUAAAGGACCCAACUGAUAGUGGUUUAGUUAAUACAUCAGCAACUUGAUCAGACGCAGGAACUUCACCAACCACAACUAAUCCAUCAGCAACCUUUUCACGAACAAAGAACAAAUCUAACUCCACGUGCUUGAAUUUGGAAUGUAACACAGGAUUGGCAGCAACAGCAACGGCACUGGAACUGUCACACCAGAUAUUAGGCGGAGCAGAAGACUUAACAUGCAACUCCUGAAGUAAGGAAAGUAACCACAUAACAUCACUAGUUACAGCAGCAAGACUUCGAUAUUCAGCCUCCGCCGUAGAUCGAGACACGACCUGCUGUUUCUUAGACGACCACGAAACAGGAUUUGACCCAAAAAAUACACAAUAUCCUGAAGUUGAUCGUCGAUCAUCGAAAUCCAAUCCCCAAUUAGCAUCAGAAAACCCAACCAACGAUAAUAAACCAGACCGACGAAACAUAAUCCCAAAAUCAAGUGUUCCAGCCAAAUACCGCAAUAUCCUCUUAAGUGCACCCAUAUGAACCGUGGUAGGAUUAUGCAUGAACUGGCAAACCCUGUUUACCGCAUACGCAAUAUCAGGCCUAGUAAUAACCACAUAUUGUAAAGCACCAGCCAAACUCCUAUAUUCCGUCGGAUCUGACAAUAAAUCCCCGUCAUCCUUGGAAACAUGAGACGAACUAACCAUAGGUGUAUGAACACUUUUAGCAUUAGACAAGCCACUUCGUUUUAACAUAUCCUGAACGUACUUUUUCUGGCAUAAAUGAAGACUCCCAUUAGAGGACCUAGUAACCUCAAGACCCAGAAAAUAAUGCAGACUUCCCAUAUCUUUGAGCGAGAACUCAUCAUUCAGCAGCUUCACAAACCAAUCAAUAGAAGAUGAUACACCUCCAGUUAUGAUUAUGUCAUCAACAUACACAAGAACAUAAAGUAUGGAGUCAGAGCAAACCCGAACAAACAACGAAGCAUCAGAUUUGGAACCAACAAACCCAACUGCUAGAAGAAAAGCCUUUAGCUUCUCAAACCAUGAGCGAGGAGCCUGACGUAAACCAUAUAACGCCUUUUUUAAAUGACAGACCAAAGGUUUUCCAUCAACUCCAAGCUGUACAUAUCCCGGAGGUUGCUGCAUAAACACUUCUCUAUCAAUAUCACCAUUUAAAAAGGCAUUGUUAACAUCCACCUGACGAAGUGACCACCCUUUAGUGACCGCAAUCGAUAAAAUAACCCUAAUAGUCGCAGGCUUGACCACCGGACUAAAGGUUUCUUGAAAAUCACAUCCCGGAACCUGAGAACAACCUUUCGCAACUAAACGUGCUUUGCACCGUUCAAUCGUACCGUCUGGAUUUUUCUUGACUUUGAAUAACCAUUUGCAGCCAAUAACCUUGCGACCUGAUGGCAAGGAAACAAGUUCCCAGGUACCAUUUCGGAUGUGUGCAUCAUACUCAGCUUGAGCAGCGGUCUGCCACUCAGGGCUAGCAAAUGCUUCUUCAAUCGUUGAAGGUUCACUAACUUCAACCGCAAGAACUUUAGGUUUGAAAAUCCCAGCCUUUGAUCGAGUAGUCAUAGGAUGAACAUUCGUAUCAGGCACAGAAAUCUCUGGUCCUAUAGGAACAGAUGGAAUUGGAACAACUGGUGUGGGAGACUGAUCAUUAGGAUACGAGUUAGUACUUCCGAAAUUAACAGCAACUUCAUUUGGAGAACCCGGAUCUUCAUUAAGAACCGGAACACUAGGAGAAGUAGUACUCGUUGGAUCAGUAUUGACUUCAUCCGGAGGAACCGAAGAUCCACUCAAAACACCCGGGCAUGCCAAACCAGUAACUAUGUUCCUAUGAUCAGAAACAUUAGUUUGAACUACCAGAAAACACGUAGGUACAGUAUUUACCUCCCAAGAGGAGCAUGACAAAGACACCGGAGAAAGAAACCGUGACUCAUCAAACUCUACAUGACGAGAUAUAAUGAUUCGACCAUCAGGUAAGAGACAUUGAUACCCUUUGUGACAAGAGCUGUAUCCCAAAAACGUACACGGUUGAGAUCGAAAAUCUAGCUUGUGACGUUGAAACGGCCUCAGAUACGGAUAGCAACAACAACCAAAUACCCGCAAAUGCUCAUAGGUAGGAUCACACCCAUACAACACUCUAUACGGAGUCUUACCAUCCAGUACUGGUGUAGGAAGACGAUUUAUCAAAUGAACCGCACAUGUAAACGCAUAGGCCCAAAACUCCAUUGAAAGCCCUGCUUGAGCUAACAGAGUAAGCCCCAUUUCCACAAUAUGUCUAUGUUUACGUUCUGCAACACCAUUUUGUUCAGACGUAUGAGGACAGGUAAUGCGAUGAAUAAUGCCUUGAUCAGCUAAAACUGAGGCAACCGCUCUAUACUCCCCGCCCCAGUCACUCUGAAACUGCUUAAUAGACUUGCCGAAUUAAUUCUGCACGAGUUUCUGAAACUGAACAAAGCACUUCACAGCUUGUGAUUUUUGUCGAAUUAAAUACACCCAAGUGAAGCGAGAACACAUAUCAAUAAACGAGACAUAAUACCAAUUUGACCCAGAGGCAACUGAGGCAGGGCCCCACAAAUCCGAAACAAUCAAAGAAAAAGGGUCAGUAUAUUCAGUAGUGGAAACCGGAAACGGCAAUUUAUGAAACUUUCCCUUUUUACAAGCAGUACAAACAUCGCUUAUUUCAACUUUAUUUAAUUUGAAAUGACAGCUAUCAAGAACAUUCUUAACAACUUUCGAAGACGGAUGUCCAAGACGCUUGUGCCACAGUAAACAAAACUCACUAUCAGCAGUCUGAGUUGAAAGAUCAACCUGAGCAGUGGAUGGAUGAAACGAAACAGGAAUAGUAGUAUCGGAUACGGAGAACUGAUAGAGCCCAUUAUGUAUACGGCCCGUCAGCAAAACCUCCUGUGUCACGCUAUCCUUAAUCACACAAUAAUUUGAGUGAAACUCAAAGAAAACACCAUUAUCAGUUGCAAAUUGUGAUACCGACAAUAAAUUCUUCCGAAUAGCCGGCACACAUAGUACAUUGGAUAAUCGAAGUACCCUAGACUUUGUAGCCAAAACACCCUGACCAAUAGAUGAGAUCAUAGCAGGCGAACCAUCACCCAUUAAAAGAGAAGACGUACCUGAAUAUGGAACAGCAUCAUGUAGUGCCGAAGGAUCUUGACACACGUGAUUGCUGGCUCCCGAGUCAGGAUACCAAGAUGAUGAGCCACGAGCUCGUGGCUUAGUCUGCCAUGGAACACCUAUAUUAUCCGAUGGCUUUGAUGGACCCAACUGCACAUUAUUCGAAACUGGAUUAGUAGCUAUGAAAGGAUUAUUGCCAAUAUGUGGCCCAAUACCAUUCUUCGGCCCAACACCACUAUUAGGCCCAAUAGUACCAUCAAUACCAUCAUUCGGCCCAUGCUCUUGAGGCCUAAAUGUUUGGCGCUCAUUAGGCUCCCUAUGCGGUCUGGGCCAACAAUUUUGCCCACCAUGAAACGGACCAUACGGCCCCACCUGUUGCUCACAAAAUGCAUUAGUCCCAUCAGCAUACCACUUUGGACCACAAUCAUAAUUUUGACCAGCAAAAUAAUUCUGACCACUUCCAUUAUAAUUUUGACCAUUUUCAAAAUAAUUUUGACCAUGGUUAGAGAACCUAGGCCUUGUGUUUUGCUGUGCAGACCAUCCCCGAAGACCAGAGGCAGUUGGGACUUGCGGCGGACAUGGCGCCUGAGAUGUGUCAUCCCGGUGAUAGCGAUAAUAGCACCGCUGAGCAACAUGGCCGAACCUCGAGCAGAUCUGACACUGAAGUCGCGGCCGGAAGUUCCUACCACGGCCACGAGAUCCCGAACGGCCUCCACGCAACGCGCCAUCCUCGACCGGCGGCGAAGACUCCUCCACAAGAUUUGCCGCAUACACAACGUCUUGAGAAGCCUGCGCCUGCCUGUUCUCACACUCAACAAGCGCAGCCACUAAACGCUGAAACGGUAGAGGAGUCGGCGACAACGAUGCAGAUGAAACAACGCCCUCAAACUCUGACGGAAGACCGGCAAGCAAGACCGCCGUGCGUUCCGCCAUCGAGAUAGGAUCACCAGCCACUGCCAAAAGUGUACAAAUACCCUUCAACUUAGUAACAUACUUACGGAUCGACAUGUUACCUUUUUUUAGAGAAUGAAGUUCAUGACGUAGGCGCGACUGCUUGAGAUCCGUAUCUGCAACGAACAAUUCCAACGCCGUCGUCCACACAUCCGAGGCCGAUUGAACCUCCGAGAACGAACUCAAAAUCGACGAACUUAUAGUAGAGAGGAGCCAAGACGUGAGAAGAUUGUCUUGCUGUUGAAAGGCAGAAGACGCCGGAUUCAACACCAAAGCACCGUCUGGUGCAGUGACGAACUUCGGCGGAGCUGUAACAGAGCCAUCAAGAAAGCCAAACAGUUCAUAUCCAUUAACGAUAAACCGAACCUGUUGCUUCCAUUGAAGAAAGGAUCCUUCAUCAAGCUUAACAACAUCGUGCCGAGGGAAAGAAUUGACCACACGAUCAUUGGCAAAGGCAGCUCCACGCGACUCAAGUGACUCCGAGGCAGCAAAAGUUUCAUUGACGUUAGCCAUGAACACGACUCACCUGGCGACUGAUACCAUGAAGAAAUGCAAGGUUUAAUGUGAAAGUUCUUAUUCUAAAAUUCUGAUUUCAAACUUAGUUUUACAUAAGGCUCAUCUAGAGUAUUUAUAGGCUCAACUUCUCUUAACAGACUAGCUAACAACUCAGCUCUCCUGUAACUGCAUUCUAACAAAUUCAUUUAUCUUAACACCACCCAUGAUCAAAUGUGAUUACUAGUGUGGGCCAAAGCCUCUUGGCGUAGCCACUGCUUAACGGUGUGGAAGGUAAGUUUCCUUAAGAUUAUUUCAUCAUAUUCACUUUUAGAAUUUCUUUUUUAUAUUUCUAUUUGAAUAUAUCUUGGAGUAUUUUAUGAAAAAUUAGUUUAUAUAUUUGUUUGUGUAACUUUUAAAUUUUACAAGUAGAUUUAAAAGUAAUGUUGUUUAAACUUGAUUGGAUCAGAUGAAUCAGGAAUUGAUUGAGAUAUCCGUUCCAAAAGAGGUUUUGAAUUGGUUGAUACGAAAAUCGGUAUGAACCAAUUAAUCUAAGUAAAAAAUUAGUUGAACUGAUUGAAUUGAUUUUUUUUUAUUUUUUGAAUUUUUAAUCAGACCAAUAAAAUUAGUCAAACUUGUUGGACCGAUGAAUUGGUAGCCUCUAACCAAUUAGACCACAGGUUCAAUUUAAAAAAUAUUUGUUGAAAAAGCUAUACAUGACCAUAAAGUAUAGUAAAGAAAAAUAAAACCCAUAUUUAAAAAAAUGGGAAACACGUCACCCGUUUAAUAUUACUUUCGGAAUAUAAAAAUUUUAUUAGUCAUAUAUAAAAUAAUUAUUCAAAUUUUAUUUAGGUGAGUAUUUGACAUACUAGUCGUGCACUUUUUUAACUCCACAAACAAAUCUAGGAGGGUGUCAAAGUAUCAUUUUUAAUUAUUUUAUAUUUUAUGCAAUAUUGGAGCAAUGGAAGGGGAAUAACACGGUUUAAAUACAUGCUAAACAUGUGUUUGAUAAAAAUUUUAACCGUUUCUCCAUACAAAUCAAAAUAUUAUUAUUACAAUUUUAAAACAAAUGACACUAAUCUAAACCCGCUUCUAAAGAUUUUUUUUACUCUAGCAAUAAUGUAUAAGAUAAUAAUCCUUUAUUUAAUUUUAAUGAAACUUAUAAAUAUUUGAUUUUAGAUGAUGUUAUUAUUACUAUUAUUUUAGAUCAAAUUAUAUCAUUUUGUUUUGAAUUUGCUUUACAAAUUUUCAUAAUUGAGAUUCAUCACAAUUUGAUAGUUUGAUUUACACCAUUAUUGAACCUAUAUUAACUUUAAAUGGUUACUAGCUUAGGUUUUUCCUUUUCAAUGAGAAAUUUUCUUUUAUAUAUAAAUAAUUAUAAUAAAAGAAAAUGAGUAACAAGGACAUCCCCAUAAUCUUAUUUGAAUUGUUGUCCAAAAUUUAUUAUUAAUAUUAUAGAAUAUUUUGUAUCGUGAAUCUAAAUAUUAUGAUGGGUAUAAAUAUUUGAAAGUAUAUUAGUUGUUAUAAAAAAAAAUCUUAUAUUAACAUCACAUUUGUAUAGCAUAAAAAAUAAGGUUGGAUUGUACUAACAUUCAUAACUUCAUUGAUAGGUGAAAUUGAGGCAGUCCAUACUUUGAAGAGUAUAUAAAAAGAGAUCCUGAUGAUCUGAAUAAUACAAAUUCAAAUUUAAAACUCGAUCAAGGACCAAUAGACGAUAAUAAAGAGUAUAUGUAAAAUAUAAAACAAGGAAUAAUCAACCUACGAUAGAAUUGUAUAUGAUGUUUAUUUUUCUUAUUAUCUUUUAUUAAUAAUUGUAUUACUGACUACUUUUUUAACCUAAUAUAAUUUUUUUUAUUGUACUGAUAAUUUGUACGGUAAUUAAUUUUUUAAAAAAAUAUAUAAAUUAUGUAAUCAUAUGUAAUUGUAAUUACAGUUGUAUUAUCAAAUAUGGCAUAAGGAAUUUUUUCAGUCACACACGUAUAGAGAAUUAUAAUUCUAUAUAACCAUAAAAGAGUGUAAAUAUAAUUACUAGUCUAACAACUACAUUUUUAUCUAAUUACUCUGUACUAUCCAAACAGACCCUAAAAAGAUAAAAUUACAUUUAAACAAAGUCAAACGUUAGCUAAUGGUUGACUAUUUUGCAAAAAAUAAUAAAUGAUGAAAAUGUAAUUUAUUGAAAGCUUAGUGAUUAUUUGUGUAAUUUGCUUUUUUUUUUAAGGACGCAUAAAUCGAGAAUUUUAAAGUCAAACAUGUUACUUCCGAGCACCCAACUUUAAUUAUGUUGAAGAUCAAGCUAGAUCUUCAAUAGAAUAAUCUUACAAGCCUUUUAAUCUUGGAUUUAAUUUGGAUCAGUUCAUCAUUUGUUGCAAUUAGCGCCCGGUUUUGUAGCUUUACAAUUUUAAGUGCCAAUCCGGCAUGUGUUCCUUAGAAAAACGUGGAAACCUUUUCAUCCUCAUCCUCACCGGCCAAAACGGCGAGCACCGGCUCAACCCCAACCUGUUCAGCUCCAUCAUUUCAGCCAUUUCACGAGCCAAGGUUGAGUCAACCCGUGGUUCAGCUCUUGUCACUGUGUCGCAUGGCAAGUUCUUCUGUAAUGGCUUCGACCUCGAUUGGGUCAACGCUGCAGGAUCCGAUGAAGAAACCCAACAACGCUUCAACCUUUUACUCGACAACCUCAAGCAGCUCGUCCUAGCCUUCAUCUCCCUCCCCAUGCCCACCAUCGCCGCCGUCAAUGGUCACGCCGCCGCUGGCGG
rnacentral:lncRNA from 1 species